rnacentral:rRNA from 1 species
GUCUACACCUAUACCACCCUGGACACGCCCAAUCUCUUCUGAUCUCGAAAGUUAAGCAGGGUCGGGCCUGGUUAGUACUCGGAUAGCAUAAUAGAACAAAAGCUACAAACC